rnacentral:tRNA from 1 species
GGGGCUAUAGUCUAGCUUGGUAUGAUGCAAGGUUCGGGACCUUGUGGCCCCGGUUCGAAUCCGGGUAGCCCCA